rnacentral:lncRNA from 1 species
AGGUAGGGAUGAAAGGAGAUAGCAUACUUACUUUGCAUGUGUUGCGAAGUCAAAGCUCGGAUCCUUGAAGAGAAGUGUCAUACUCCCAGAUCAAGAUGUGCAAGUGUGAUAUAUGGUGGACUAGGUUGCUCCUUUAUUUGCUACACUCUCUCUACUUGUAUAUUGAGACAUGGCUAGCAUUUUCUUUUUCUUCGAGCUUUAUGUGCUCAAUUUUUUUUUUGUGGACUUGCACAUGUCCAUCUUUUUAUUUCAUUUUGCCUAGGCUUUUGAUGUCUCAUUUACCAAAUAAUGCUUAGAGAGAGAUAUUCUAACAUUUAGAGUAUGGAGCAACUUAUUUAGUGGAUGCGAAAUACAUGUGGUUGCGUACUUCCAGUGUAGAAGCAGCAUAUAUAUAUGUGGUGUGUACGUGAUCUUGAUCUUAGGAGCAUGAAAAGUCUCUUAACAGGGGUCAACAAGACUUGAUGACACUCAACACAAAGCAAAUAGCUUAUGUGGAAAGGUUGCAAUCAUGUAAAGUAGAUAUAGCUGUGGUAGGAAUUCAUCACCAUUGAGGAACAAUUAAGGGUUUGAUCAUUUUAAGAAUAAAUCUCUGAUAAUCAUGCAUGCUUAGAAUAAUAUUAUAGCAGCUCUUGUCUCACUAUCUCAUGUCCCACAACAACUUAGACUUAGUUCUAGCACUUGCAACCCACAAAGUUUUCAGGUUCAUGGCAGUUUAAGUGAGCUAAGUGAUCCAUACUUGGAGAAAUACUAAGUUGUAUACUAGGUACUAGAGAAACAUUAACAAGCAACUAGUCAUCAUUUCCAUGAGGGAUAUAGACAUACAUGAAGCAUAUAUGCUAAAGGGAAAUGCUAAUUUUUUUUUUAGAGCAAGAAUGAUAAAAUGCAUGGAAAUAAAUAGGAUAGAAUACUUACCUUGGUGGGGGAGAGGAUCUCCCCCAAGCUUGUCUUUCCUCACUGGGGUGGAUACGAUGGAUAUGGUGGAUAUGGUGGAGGAUAUUGCUGUGGAGGAUAUUGUGCAGGAGGAGGUGGAUAUGCAUGUGGUGGUUGAGGAAUGUAUGGUGGUACGGGCAGGUGAUAUGAUGUGUAGGCUUGGCACCAGUUUCUAUUGCU